rnacentral:rRNA from 1 species
CAGCAGCCACGGUAAUACGGAGGGGGCUAGCGUUGUUCGGAUUUACUGGGCGUAAAGCGCACGUAGGCGGAUCGAUCAGUCAGGGGUGAAAUCCCAGAGCUCAACUCUGGAACUGCCUUUGAUACUGUCGAUCUGGAGUAUGGAAGAGGUGAGUGGAAUUCCGAGUGUAGAGGUGAAAUUCGUAGAUAUUCGGAGGAACACCAGUGGCGAAGGCGGCUCACUGGUCCAUUACUGACGCUGAGGAGCGAAAGCGUGGGGAGCGAACAGGAUUAGAUACCCCCGUAGUCCCUGUCUCUUAUAC